rnacentral:tRNA from 1 species
GCUCAGAUGGCGAAACCGGCAGACGCACUAGCCUUAGGAGCUAGCGACCUUCGGGUCAUGAGGGUUCGAUUCCCUCUCUGAGCA